rnacentral:RNase_P_RNA from 1 species
CUGGCCGGCCGGAUGGCCGCCGGGGCGUUCCGCCGGCCUUUCGGGGCCGCCGGGCGCCCUGGAGGAAAGUCCGGGCUCCACGGAAACAGGGCGCCGGGUAACGCCCGGCGAGGGACCCUUCGGGGGAACCUCAGGGAAAGCGCCACAGAAAGCAGACCGCCAAAGCGCCUUCGGGCGCACGGCAAGGGUGAAAGGGUGCGGCAAGAGCGCACCGCGCCCCUGGCAACAGGGGUGGCAUGGCAAGCCCCGCCCGGAGCAAGGCCUAAUAGGGACGGCGCAUCCCUUCGGGGAUGCCGGGUACGUUUCCGGCCCAGACCGUCCGGGUUGGCCGCACGAGGCGCAUGGCGACAUGCGUCCCAGAUGAAUGGUCAUCCCCCGGCACCGCCGGGGACAGAACCCGGCUUACAGGCCGGCUGACGCC